CUUCUAAAUAACUUUAAUGGUCGGCUUAUUGGAUUCAUAGGGGGGGAAUUCAAAUGUUUGAAAAGUCGGUUGGGUGUCUGUUUUUUCCUGUCUAUUAGAUAGGAAAAAACAGACACCCAACUGACUUUUCAAACAAUU